rnacentral:rRNA from 1 species
AACCGGAUUAGAUACCCUGGUAGUCCACGCCGUAAACGAUGUCGACUUGGAGGUUGUUCCCUUGAGGAGUGGCUUCCGGAGCUAACGCGUUAAGUCGACCGCCUGGGGAGUACGGCCGCAAGGUUAAAACUCAAAUGAAUUGACGGGGGCCCGCACAAGCGGUGGAGCAUGUGGUUUAGUUCGAUGCAACGCGAAGAACCUUACCUACUCUUGACAUCCAGAGAACUUAGCAGAGAUGCUUUGGUGCCUUCGGGAACUCUGAGACAGGUGCUGCAUGGCUGUCGUCAGCUCGUGUUGUGAAAUGUUGGGUUAAAUCCCGCAACGAGCGCAACCCUUAUCCUUUGUUGCCAGCGGUUCGGCCGGGAACUCAAAGGAGACUGCCAGUGAUAAACUGGAGGAAGGUGGGGAUGACGUCAAGUCAUCAUGGCCCUUACGAGUAGGGCUACACACGUGCUACAAUGGCAUAUACAAAGAGAAGCGACCUCGCGAGAGCAAGCGGACCUCACAAAGUAUGUCGUAGUCCGGAUCGGAGUCUGCAACUCGACUCCGUGAAGUCGGAAUCGCUAGUAAUCGAGA